AUGAAGAAAUUCUUUAAAGGGUGGGGCUUAAAUAACUUUGGCAAAUGUAGGAUUAAGAAGAACUUACUUAGAUUGGAGCUUCAGGAGUUGGAGUUGUUAGAAGAACAAUAUGAUCUGUGUGGGGAGGCGUAUACGAGGAAAUUAAAUAUCCUGGUGGAACUUAAUAGUAUAUACCUUGAAGAGGAAUCAUCCUGGCAUCAAAAAUCUACCGAGAGGUGGCUAUUGAAAGGUGAUAAUAACACCGAUUUCUUCCAUAAAGUGGCCAAUGGGAGACGCAGGAAAAAUAUGAUGCGCUCUCUUGAAUGUGGUUCUGUUACUAUUGAGGGGACUAAGAAUCUACUAGCCCAUGCUACUGACUUUUAUAAGGAAUUGUUUGGGCCUGCACCUGGUAAUAUGUGUAGUGUUGACGCAUCAUUGUGGUCUAGUGAGGAGAAUAUAUCCUUGAGUGAUAACGAUGAGUUAACCAAACCCUUUUCCCUUGAGGAGAUUAAAGCUGCUCUCUUUGCUAUGGAGCCUAAUCGUGCACCUGGCCCUGAUAGUGUACCGGCUGAAUUCUACCAGCACUGCUGGGAUGUUGUUUGCAUGGAUCUCCUUAGGCUUUUUGAGUGGUUUCAUGAGGGCAGACUAGAUGUGCAACGCUUGAAUUAUGGCAUUAUCACCCUUUUGCCUAAAACCUCGGAGGCCAAUAGAAUACAACAGUACAGACCUAUUUGCUUGUUGUGA
rnacentral:rRNA from 1 species